UAGCGUCUGCGUGCGUCCCUACGUAGUGAGAGAAGAGGGUAGUGGGCGAGGCUUCUUCUGUGGUCAUGGCAACCGGAUGUCUGCCUGAGUGCUCCUGUCUAACUAGACAGACUGAACCGAGAAGUGUGCCAGAACACGUCGUUCCCCGCCGUAUAUCUACUGGAGAACAAAACUUAGGGCUCAAGUGAUUCAUAGCCAAGAAACAAAAGAAAACCAUCCCGUUUCCUCCAACUUAUUUAGCUGAUAACUGGAUAACUGUGCCAUCUGCUGGCUGUGAACUGCCUGGCUACCUAGAACAAAACUGUCGGAAGACUUGGAAUGGACAGUCAAGAGGAGGAAACUACCAGCAGCCACAACAGUUAUAGCAAUGUUUGAUGUAGGAAAGAGUCCUUGAGCCAGGCAGUGGUG